rnacentral:rRNA from 1 species
GACGAACGCUGGCGGCGUGCCUAAUACAUGCAAGUAGAACGCUGAAGCUUGGUGCUUGCCCCGCGCGGAUGAGUCGCGAAAGGGUGAGUAACGCGUAGGCAACCUGCCUGGUAGCGGGGGAGCACUAUCGGAAACGAUAGCGAAUACCGCAUAAGAGUAGAAGUUGCAUGACAUUUGCUUAAAAGGUGCAAUUGCAUCACUACCAGAUGGACCUGCGUUGUAGUAGCUAGUUGGUGAGGUAACGGGUCAACAAGGCAACGGAACAUAGCCGGCCUGAGAGGGUGGAUGACCACACUGGGGAUGGAGCACGGCCCAAGACUCUACGGGGAGGCGCAAGAGGGGAACUUUGGCAAUGGACGGAAGGCUGAACGAACAACGCCGCGUGGGAGAAGGAGGUUCUCGGGUCGUAAAGCUCUGUUGUAAGGGAAGAAAGAGUGUGAGAGUGGAAAGUACACGCUAUGACGGUAUCUUACCAGAAAGGAACGGCUAACUACGUG